UACGUAGGGUGCGAGCGUUAAUCGGAAUUACUGGGCGUAAAGGGCGCGUAGGCGGUCGUGACAAGUCACUUGUGAAAUCUCCGGGCUUAACUCGGAACGGUCAAGUGAUACUGUCGGACUAGAGUACAGAAGGGGCAACUGGAAUUCUCGGUGUAGCGGUGAAAUGCGUAGAUAUCGAGAGGAACACCUGCGGCGAAGGCGGGUUGCUGGGCUGAUACUGACGCUGAGGCGCGAAAGCUAGGGGAGCGAACGGG
rnacentral:rRNA from 1 species